AGCGAACGCUGGCGGCGUGCUUAACACAUGCAAGUCGAACGUGAAAUGUAGCAAUACAGAGUAAAGUGGCGUACGGGUGAGUAACACGUGGGUAAUCUACCUUAGAGCCUGGAAUAACCUGCCGAAAGGCGGGCUAAUACUAGAUAGUUCAAGCUUGUUGUAGAGACAGGAUUGGGAAAGGGAGCUGGUAACAGCCUUCACUUUAAGAUGAGCCCGCGUCUGAUUAGCUAGUUGGUGAGGUAAUGGCUCACCAAGGCUGAGAUCAGUAGCUGGUCUGAGAGGAUGAUCAGCCACACUGGAACUGAAACACGGUCCAGACUCCUACGGGAGGCAGCAGUGGGGAAUCUUGCGCAAUGGACGAAAGUCUGACGCAGCCACGCCGCGUGAGUGAAGAAGGCCUUCGGGUUGUAAAGCUCUGUCGGAGGGGACAAAAACCAUUAUGGUUAAUAGCCAUAGUGCUUGAUGGUACCCUCAAAGGAAGCACCGGCUAACUUCGUGCCAGCCGCCGCAGUAA
rnacentral:rRNA from 1 species